CGCCGAGGAGUGGGCGGCGGGGGAGGACGGCGCAGGGCGCGUGGAGCGGGCGGAUAUCUGGGAAGCGGUUGGGUUGGAAAAAGGGAGAGAGCAGAAAGGAGAAGAGGAGGCACGAGGCCAUGUUCGGUGCUUCAUCGGUGAGAGUGUGGUGUGUCUGUGUGUGAGAGAAGAAAGAGAGAGAGAGAGAGAAGGCGCGUCGGUGGAUGGAUGCUAUUAUCGGUGAAUGCCAUGUAGAUGAAUGUCAAAUUUCUUGAAUACACCUGGCGGCUCGUUCUGGUUGCAUUCUUGGUGUGUAAAUUUUGUACCUCCAGGUACAAAAUUUACACACCAAUAGUGUAACCAGAACAGACCGUUCUGGUUUCAGAACAGACCGUUCUGGUUCCAGAAUGGUCGAUGACUAUAGUUCACGGUUAUGAAUCAUGCAAUGAAAAAAUCUCAAGGUACAAAACAUUUCAAACACUAGAUUUGGUAAUAUUGUCAAUGGGGAUUGAUAACUUCAAUUGCUAAGCAUUUGGGCAAUAUAGUAUAUUAUUAAGGAUGAUGUAGUGUAUCACU